rnacentral:rRNA from 1 species
GUGCCAGCAGCCGCGGUAAGACAGAGGUGGCAAGCGUUGUUCGGAAUUACUGGGCUUAAAGGGCGCGUAGGUGGUGGCAUAAGUCCGAGGUGGAAGACUAAGGCUUAACCUUAGAAUUGCCUUGGAAACUGUAUCACUUGAGUCAGCGAGGGGAUGGCGGAAUUCCAGGUGUAGCGGUGAAAUGCGUAGAUAUCUGGAGGAAGGCCGGUGGCGAAGGCGGCCAUCUGGCGCUGAACUGACACUGAGGCGCGAAAGCGUGGGGAGCAAACAGGAUUAGAAACCCCAGUAGUCC